AUGAAGGUGAAUGUGGAUGCUGCUGUGGCGGGACGACGAGGUGUGGGCUCAGUGGCAGCGAUAUGCAGAAACAGGGAUGGACUCUAUAUAGGUGCUUCAUCGGUGGUAUUCAGAGGUAUAACUGAUCCCACAAAUCUGGAAGCUCUUGCGAUGAGGGAGGCUAUGGCAUUGGCGGAGGACCUAAACUUACAAUCCAUACAUGUGGCUUCAGAUUGCUUGGUGGUGAUAGAUGAUCUAAAGAGGAAGAGUGGGGCUGGUUACGGUGCUAUCAUACAUGAAAUACUAGAGUACUCUACUAGUUUUACUUCGUGUAAUUUUGUUCAUGAAUUUAGGAGCUCGAAUGUCGAAGCUCACAAUCUAGCAAAGCAUGCACUUAAACUGGGGCUUGGUCGCCAUGUUUGGUUAGGCCACUCGGGGAUCUUCAUUUCGUCCAUGUAA
rnacentral:rRNA from 1 species